AUGAAGGCAGCAUUAAAAACUAUCCUCCCACAAACUCUCCAUAAGCUGUGUCGGUGGCAUAUCAUAAAGAAGUACAAAGACCACCUCGCCUUGCUGUAUAAGGCGCACGAGAAACUCAAGGAUGAACUCAAUGCGGUGCUGAACCACCCACUAAUGCCGUCAGAAUUUGAACAAGCAUGGAAGAACCUCAUUUAGAGGUACAACUUGCAAGACGACGAAGUGAUGAAUUCGCUGUGGGAUGACAGGCACGAGUGGAUCUCGGCUUACUACAAGGAAAUUUUCUGUGCUCGGAUGACUUCCACACAAAGAAGCGAGAGCAUGAAACGCAUACUGAAGAAAUUUUUUGUCAAGGAGAAGCAUGGUCUCCAUCUGUUUGCUGAGCAGGUGGAUAAGUGCAUUCAGACCAGGAAGGCCGUCGAGCACGCAGAGACAGUAGCAAAUGAGUCAUAUGUAAAAACAACAACCAAGUUUGGGUUCGAAGUUCAGCUAUCAAAAGUGUAUACAAGGGCAGUGUUUGCAGAUUUCAAAGAAACACUCUACCAUAGCACUGCAUUCAGAGCAGACCAGUGCCCUGAGAACCCGACAAAGUAUCUUGUACACCACUACAACAGAUCGGAUGCAUUUGACUGGGCAAGGCAUAAUUUCCAAGUGGUCGUCGAUGAAGAGAAAGGUGUCUACGAAUGUGAGUGCAAACUCUGGACACACACAGGGCUCUUUUGCGUCCAUGUGUUAUGCAUGCUUUCUCAUUUGAGAGUACUCAAGAUUCCUGAGGUGUACAUCAUGAAAAGAUACACCUGUAACGCAAGAUCAGAUGCAAUGUUUGACAGAAGAGACUAUGAACAAAUAGCACCAGAUGGAACCUCGCUUUUUUGCCGUAGAAAAUUGUUGACAGAAACAACAAUGGACCUUGCAAACAGAGCGACAAGGUCCGACGCUGGGUGCCACAAAGCAUUGUCUGGUAUGAGGGCACUGAUGGAGGAAGUUGACGUGCUCAACGAAGAAGAAGAAGAAGAAGAAGCAAAACUAAAGCAAGUAGAGUAAUCCCAGCAUGAUAAU
rnacentral:rRNA from 1 species